rnacentral:ncRNA from 1 species
CACAAAGGCUUAGUCCUAACUUUAUUGUCAGCUUUAGCCAAAUUUACACAUGCAAGUUUCCGCACUCCCGUGAAAAUGCCCCAGAGUCCCCUGAAUGGGGACGAGGAGCUGGUAUCAGGCUCAAACAACCAAUUAGCCCACGACGCCUUGCUAAGCCACACCCCCAAGGGAGUUCAGCAGUGAUAGACAUUAAGCCAUAAGCGAAAGCUCGACUUAGUUAAAGCUAAGAGGACCGGUAAAACUCGUGCCAGCCACCGCGGUUAUACGAGAGGUCCAAGUUGACAAACGCCGGCGUAAAGCGUGGUUAUGCUCCUACAAAACUAAAGCCAAAUGCCCACAAAGCUGUUAUACGCUCUCGAGGGCCAGAAACCCACCAACGAAAGUGGCUUUACACACCUGAACCCACGAAAGCUAUGAAACAAACUGGGAUUAGAUACCCCACUAUGCAUAGCCAUAAACAUUGAUACCCCAGCACAUCGGUUAUCCGCCCGGGUACUACGAGCAUAAGCUUAAAACCCAAAGGACUUGGCGGUGCUUCAGACCCACCUAGAGGAGCCUGUUCUAUAACCGAUAAUCCCCGUUCAACCUCACCUCUCCUUGUCUAAACCGCCUAUAUACCGCCGUCAUCAGCUUACCCUGUGAAGGUCUCAUAGUAAGCUUAAUUGCCAUAAUCCAAAAUGCCAGGUCGAGGUGUAGCGUAUGGAGAGGGAAGAAAUGGGCUACAUUUAGUGCACCCACUAUACACGGACGAUGAGUUGAAAAACCCUGCAGAAGGAGGAUUUAGCAGUAAGCGGAAAAUAGAGCGUUCCCCUGAAAUAGGCUCUGAAGCGCGUACACACCGCCCGUCACUCUCCCCAAAAAUUGACACUAACACUCUAUAAUACCCUACUACCAGGAAGGGGAGGCAAGUCGUAACAUGGUAAGUGUACCGGAAGGUGCACUUG